UUUCGGGCUGCAGCAAUGUUCCUUUAAAAGCCGUUUGAUAGCAAUGGAACAGGCUAGAACAGACAGGUGCGUUUCAUUUAUUAAAAUGUGCAUCAAACGCUGGACAGAGCAGACACUGGGACAAGGGUAUAUAUUUCUCCCAUGUCCUGUACCGUUCUGUGGUUAACCACAGAACUGACAGGACGCUCGCUCGCUCGAGCUCGCCUCCCUGUCUCGAACUCUCGAUACUCAUCUCUCUCUCUCAUUUCUCUCCAUGAGUGCUUGCACACUGCUCGAUGCUAUGGAGAUGAAGUCUGUCUCUCCCAUCACUCACCAUGAGUCGCUGCUCACUACUCCUCACAAUGCGCCAGUGACGAUAUCCAGCGAUCAAUUGCUAUUUGCACUCUUUCUCCCUCUCUCAAUACCUGGAUUUCUCGCCCAUCUCUUGCUGCUUACCGUAGUUUAGCAACCCUUCUACAGCCUCUUCAUAGCCAGCUUCAUAUCCGUCAAAUGACACAUUUCAACCCCUUGAUGGCUAGCUUCAUCCCUAUAUUCGUGGAACACCGCCUCAUUGCAGCCCUUCUACAGGUAGGGCAUAGAUUUCUCUCAUUCACUCUAUCUUUCUUUCUCACCCUUUCUCACUCAUUGUCUACUUUCCUCACUCAAAUUGUAUUUUAGUAGGAACAACACAUUUGCAGCUCUUUCGAAAUUAUGUAUCAAGACUUGCACUCCAUGUGUUUGAUAAAAUGUUUGAUCUAAGAGACUCUUUUGACAAUAAAAUAUCUCGGGAUCUCGCUAUGAUUUUUUUUUAAACUUGUUAGAUUCAUAAUGUUGCUCCCUGAUGAAUGAUGAAAAUCUCGCUCUGUAAAAUCAGUUCAUGUCCAUGCCUCUAAACGAUAACUUACUACCGAAGGACGAAAUUUUUAUCACUCCAACUGUGCCUAUAAAGCGAAGAAGCAAAAUCAGUCAGUUUCCACUCUCACUCUCGGCUUUCACUUUGCACACAUCUUAGAUUUCCGUAACACAAGGCAGUACCACAUUACCAUGGACAUAUUUCAGAAUGUAAACAGAGGUUUGGAAGCUCCCCUGCAGUCCUUUCCACCAAAGAGGGGAAAAGUGAAGGCAAACAUUUGGAAGAAGAUGAAGGCAGCAGUUUUCUGCAAGAAGGUUCAUGACUCCAUGGCUGCUGCAAAGUAUUCUCGGUUGCCAUCGUCAUCAUUGAAGGGUAAAAGUUGACAAAUAUUGAAAGAAAAACUAUCAAAUACUAUGUUCUUUAUUUUUUCUUUUGAAUGCAUGUUCAUAUGGAAUCUUAGUGAGGUGAUAAACCAACAAGAAUUGUGUAGCGCGUGCUUUUGUACUGUGCUUUGUACUGUGGGUUCUUGUAAAAAGGGCAUGACUUGGUUCAAGUCUCAGCAUAUCAUUGUAUUCAGUUCUAUAGCUUAAGCAUAGAAUUGGGGAACUGGUCAAGUGAACUUUCUUUGAACGAACUAUCAUGGCAAGCUCUAAUAGAUCAACUUUUCGAAUUGA